rnacentral:rRNA from 1 species
UACGUAGGGGGCGAGCGUUGUCCGGAAUUAUUGGGCGUAAAGCGCGUGUAGGCGGCCACGCAGGUCCGCUGUGAAAACUCGAGGCUCAACCUCGAGAUGUCGGUGGAAACCGCGUGGCUAGAGUCCGGAAGAGGAGAGUGGAAUUCCCGGUGUAGCGGUGAAAUGCGCAGAUAUCGGGAAGAACACCCAUGGCGAAGGCAGCUCUCUGGGACGGUACUGACGCUGAGACGCGAAAGCGUGGGGAGCGAACAGG